UAUGCCAAGUGUGGAGAAUGGAAAGCUCACUACUUGCAAUUUUGCAUGUAGUUUGCUUAUAAAAAAGUGGAUUGUUGCAAAUGAAAGAAGAAUAGUUUUUGGGUAAAAUUGAUUUUGUAAUUUGGAAUUGCAAAAUUAAACUCCUAAAUCCAUCGCUUUCUCUAAUUUCUCCACCAUUCGAGUCCCACAACUCGGUUCUAAGUCUGGAGAAUAGCGGGUCAACGCUAGUGGUAGUCUCAGCUUCAAGUGUGUGACGAGAUUACGACAAUAGAAAAGCAUCAAAUGUGAGUUUUUUCUAUUAACUCUAUCUUUGUUUCAAUUAGGGUUAUACUGCAUGUUAAUCACUAAAGUGUUUAGUUACAAUUAGAGUAAAAUUCAAUUCUUAUUCCGAUGCGCAUGUUCUCGUUUUCCAUUAGACUUUUCGUAAAACGCUAUAAAAUGUCUAUGAUAGCAUUUUUGGAGUACUAUCGUAGACCUUUUUUUAUGUAGUAAUUUAUCAAUAGCAUAUCCUGUAUAAGAACUUGGGAUCCUGUUUAGCAAAUCAUUUUAUGAGCUAUUGCUUGUAAAGCUUGAAAACAUGUUUAAUAAUAUCAUUUAGAAAUCAAUGUGUUACUCAUAAGUUAUUACUUGUAGAGCUCGAAAUUAUGUUCAAUAAAUAUUUUAGAAAUCAUGAUGUUACUCACAAUACUUGUACAGAUCCUUGGCCAUAAAUUUCUCCUAAUCCUCAUUGUCCUGAAAAAUUCAUAUUUAAUCCUUAAUUAAUUCCUUGACCAUCAAAAUAUCCAAAAUUUUCCUUAAAAUUUUAAAAAAUAUCAAGACAGACCAAAACAACUCGAAAACAGCCCAACGAUGUCAAUCAAUAUGGUGAAUGGGCUGGUCGCGCAUGCAUAGCCUAGGGCCUGCCACAUGCUAAUCUCGCAAUGGGGUUGCUGCGCACGUGCUUGUCGCCUACCCCAUGCAUCCAUGGCGUGCUUUGCGUGCAUUAGUUCUCUUUGCACAUUGUGCGCCACACUAACCUCUAUGGUAGGGUCAUGCAUGCAAUCGAAAUGCAUGUCUUGUCGCUCGGUUAUGCCAUGGUCUUGUCAUGUGCAUGCAAUCUGAUCCAAAAUAACCUCUAUGACCAAAACGCACGCCCAUCUCGCCUAACCAUCUAAGCCUCUCGGCCACUACCUAGACACCGUUUUACUUCCAGAAUCAUGACUCAACUUUGAAAAAUCAUAACUUAAAAAUGCAAACUUUUUUGAUAAAACUUCCUUCUACAAAGUUGCUCGAAAUUUUCUUAACUUUCUUACCUCAAAUUUAGAAAAGUAUAUUUCAAUUAAUUAGUCCUAUAGCCCUCUAGAAGUGCAUCUUGCUCAGAUUCACCCAAGAAAUGACUUUGCAUUCUCUUGAUCAAAUUGCUAACCUCUUUGAAUCCAAAACGCACAACAACCUUCUCUCACAAACUAGACUCAAAUUUUAAACUUUUACGACCAAUUUGAGAGAUUUUGCACGAGUUAUAAGUUGUGAGAAAUUUAAUAAUGAAGUUGGCCUAUUUAUAGAGUCCCUUGUAGGAGAUUAAGGUGACACUUAAUCUUGAUUAGACUUACCUCUUAAGCUUGUGCUAACACCUCAAAAACUUCUUCACGUCCUUCUUGACCGCAAAAUGCAUGAUGACAUGGUUAUGACACUUGAAUUUACUUUUAACCAAUUGCCUAGAGCAUGCCACAUACUUCAUCCAAUCACAUAGCUAACCUCCUUGGCUUUCUCGCAUAACCUUGGUCGGAUAGCUUACUCUCUCACGUAGCUAAGCCUUCCUCGCCUAACAUCCUUCCUCCAGUGGACAACCUCUUAUAGACAACCUUCAAAUGCUAAGUCAAACUCCCAACUAACCUCUCUAGCCUUGCUGCAAACCUCCAAGUGCAUUGUCAUGGCUUCCUCGCCUAGCCUCUCAUCGCCAACCUAACCUUCAUGCCAUCCUCCUUGGUAAGCCUCUCAAGGUAUCCUUCUCGCCUAGCCUUCAACCAAACGCCCAUGCUUAGAGGUCUUACAUGAUCUUCUUAGUCACACAUCAAAACGCAAGAUAACCUCUAUCUUCUCCUCUCUUGCGGCCUAGCAUGCAUCCUACAUGCCCUAACUAAUCUCUUUAGAUGUUGUUUUCCUUCUUUUGGCCGUCCAAACUAUUCCAAAAUAACCUUUAAACGCAAAUAUUCAAAACUUAGCCAAAUUUCCAACUUGUCUCUUCCUCUUAAGACUUUAAUUGAUUUUUUAAGCUUUCAAGUAUUUUAUUCUUUUUCCUAGACAACUUUACCAAAGAAGACUAAUGCAAGCAUACAAUAAAAAAAUAAACCCUCAAAGUUUUUGAGAUGGAGAUUUGGUGUUAAAAAGGAUACUUCUAUUUCAAAAGAAUCAUCGAGGAAAAUAGACUCCUAAUUAUGAAUGUCAGUUUGUGGUGAAAAAUGCUUUUUCAAGAGGAGUUUUGCUUUUAAUCAAUAUGGAUGGCAUUGGUUUAAAAAAUCACGUGAGUUUAGAUUAUGUUCGAAGAUAUUAUGCGUGAGGUCUUUUCAUUUGACGAGUAUUUCUCCAAUUUCACAAUGUUUUGUCAUUAUUAUUAUUAUUUAUUUUUGGAUUUUUUUUAAAAAUAAUGUAAAAUUUGAAACAUAUUUCAAAAAUAGGGUAGUUGCAAAACUAUUUUCAAAUAUAGGUGUUUUGAGGUGAAGUCGUGGACGGGGUACACGACUUCCAUGCAGUGGCCCCCACAUACUCUAUUUUUUCCUUAUUUUUAUAUUUAUACUACACUGGGCCCCACAUUUUUUAAUUUUCUCAUUAUUUAUAUACGUGGGUCCCACACACUUCAUUUUUUCUCAUUAUUUAUAUAUACAUACUCACAUAUAAUAUAAUAUAUAUAUUAUACAUUCAAAUUCUAAAAAUAUCUUUCUUUAUUAAAUUAAUUUAUUUUUUUAUUUUUUUCUUUAUAUAUAUUUAAAUAUCACAAUCUUCAAUCUUCAAUUUUUCUUAUUAAAUUCAUUUUUCUAAUUUAAUUUAAUUCUUUCUUAAUCAAAAUUAUACAUAUAUUUUUUUUCCAAUUUUCAAUUUUUUUUAAAAAAAUCUCAUAUAUUAACAAAACAUGUUAUUAAAAAUAUAUUAAACAAAUUAAAAGAGUAAUAAUAAUAAUAAUUUUAUAUAUAUAUAUAUUUAUUUAUUUAUUUAAUAUCUCAAUCUUCAAAUUUUCUUAUUAAUUCAUCUUUUCUAAUUUAAUUUAAUUAUUUCUUAACCAAAAUUAUAUAUAUCUUUUUCUAAUUUUCUGUUUAAAAAAACACAUAUAUUAACCAAAUAUGUUAUUAAAAAAUACAUUAAACAAAUAAAAAUAAUAAUAGUAAUUGAAAGAAGUUGAAACGUACUCUAAAAAUAAUAAUAACAAUAAAUUUGCAAUUCAAAAUUAUCCAUUAAGUUUUUAAAUUUAAUUUGUAAUCGAACCAAUUCUUGUUUUUUUCCUUUUACCAUAAACAUGAAUUUCUUUUUAUUCAAUUAUCAAUGUGUGUGGCUUCAAGUGUUAUUAUUAUUAUUUUUUUUAGUAAUUUUAACUUAUCUCAAUUAUUAUUAUUACUCUUUUAAUUUGUUUAAUAUAUUUUUAAUAACAUGUUUUGUUAAUAUAUGAGAUUUUUUUAAAAAAAUUGAAAAUUGGAAAAAAAAUAUAUGUAUAAUUUUGAUUAAGAAAGAAUUAAAUUAAAUUAGAAAAAUGAAUUUAAUAAGAAAAAUUGAAGAUUGAAGAUUGUGAUAUUUAAAUAUAUAUAAAGAUAAAAAUAAAAAAAAUAAAUUAAUUUAAUAAAGAAAGAUAUUUUUAGAAUUUAAAUGUAUAAUAUAUAUAUUAUAUUAUAUGUGAGUAUGUAUAUAUAAAUAAUGAGAAAAAGUGAAGUGUGUGGGACCCACGUAUAUAAAUAAUGAGAAAAUUAAAAAAUGUGGGGCCCAGUGUAGUAUAAAUAUAAAAAUAAGGAAAAAAUAGAGUAUGUGGGGGCCACUGCAUGGAAGUCGUGUACCCCGUCCACGACUUCACCUCAAAACACCUAUUUUUGAAAAUAGUUUUGCAACUACCCUAUUUUUUAAAUAUGUUUCAAAUUUUACAUUAUUUUUAAAAAAAAUCCUUUAUUUUUCAUUUGAAUAUAAAAAUUCAAAUCAUAAAAAAAGUAAUUUUUUAUGGGUUUUAUAAUUUAAAUUCCUUGAAUAGAUGAAAUUGCUCCAUUUGAAAUUUAAUUAAUAAAUUAUCUUUAAAUAUAUAAGCCAUUUCAUACUUUUAAAUGAGACUGAAUAGCGUUUUCUAUGAAUUUAUUAAUUUUUAGAUACAUGAAAUUUCUCAUUAGACACCUAUGAUGGAGAUUAAAAUAUCAAAGUUUGAUAUUUUAAUAUUCUUGAGGUGAAUAAAUAAAAAAAUAUCUUUUGAAACAAAAAAUAAACUUCAUUUUUCUUAUGACUUUUAUGCCACCCAUAAUUAUCAAUAUGCUCAGGUUUUAUUUUUUUCGACGUGAAUUGAUAACCAUGAGACAUUUAAAAAAAUCUAAGUAAAAAACUUUGUUUUGUGAAACCUUUAAUUUAGUGUAAAAGAUAAAAUUUGGUAACUAUUUUAUGGGUGUUGUAGAGUGCUAACACCUUCCCUACACAUAAUUGGCUCUCGAACUUAAAUCUUAUGAAUUUAGGUAGACCACUUUUUUUGUGACCAAUCACACCUUAAUAUGGUUGGUGGCGACUCCAAACCUAUUUAUUUAUUAAAAUUAAACGAACGAGGAUGUCAAUUGCUCCACGUUGCGACACAUUGUAUUUGUAGAAAACGAGUUGUCCUCUAUAAAUGGGUAUAAUCGGUUAUAAAAAGUCAAAAAAAAUUAUUCAGUUCGCGAUUUUGUUAUAAAUCUUAAUAUUUUGGAGAUUUUCUAUUGUUUAGUUUGUUAUCUAACAUUUUAACAUUGUCACGGUUAUCUCUUGUUUAUUUGGGCUAAAAUUCAAAUAAGCCAAAAAAAUAAGUUGCAUUUAACUUAAAGGAAAAUUGCAAUUGAUGAUCAUUUUAGCAAUAAUAAUUAAGGAUAUAGCAAAACUAUCACCGAUAGAAUUGUAUCGGUGAUAGACUUUGUAUGGUCUAUCAGUGGUAGAUCAAUAUUUACAACAUGGUCUAUCGGUGAUAUACUUAUAUCAUCGAUAGAAUUUGACAAAUUUUGCUAUAUUUGCAAAAUUUUUAAAAUAUUGCUAUGUACUUAAUUAUUUUGAAUCUAAUUGCUAAAUUUACAACUAUUCAUCAGCUUAAAUGCUAAAUAUGACUCAAAUAUGGUUGAGCCCAUGAGUCUAUUCCAUGCACCAAACAAAGUCCAAGCCCAUCUAGCCUAUUAGAAGAUUCUAUAAGCUCAGUAGAAUAGUUCUCUUCAUUUGAGGGGACAUAAAUUUUAACUAUAGUAGGUUAGAAGUCAACCACUGUCAAAUAUUGAAGUUUCUUUGAAAAUACAAGCUUUCUUCCAAGACUCAAACUUAAAAAACAUCACGUGCUCCACUUCCUAAAAUCAAGUGUAUAUAUUCAAUCGAGAGAAAAUAAAAAAGAUUAAGUACUAGAGAACAAACCAUACUGCAUCAUAAUCAACACAUCAACACAUCAACACAAACUUCAACUCCAUGAAGCACGUUUCUCUAUAAACCUUGUGCGAAUAUAGUGUGCAUUUUUUUUUUCAAUAUGAAAUGAAAAUUUAAGAAGUGAUUCCUUAUAACCAAAGAAGAUAACGAUGUCACACACGACGUCCUAGUAACCACAUAAAUCAAUAAAUCUUCAAAUCAACAAAUAGAUAGUUAAAAAUAACACAAAGACGUUUCUAAACCACGUUUGGGGGUCAUACGGUGUCUAUCGAAGGAAGAUAAUUAAUCCAAUCUUAUAUGUAAGCUGAGUCAAGCAAUUACGACAUACUUAUUUGUAGUAACGAUGACUACAACUAUGCAUGUAGAGUCUAACUUAAAUAAUCACUCUAGGCUCUUCCUAGAAUGUGAGACUCCCUCUUGCUUCCACUUAGGCUCUUGUUAAGUAUGUGAAUAUUAGUGGCGUACAAUUUAUAGGUUUCUUCCAAGUGUGUGACUCAUGCUCACUCGAAGAUAGUUUACUUCCAAACCCUCUUCACGAGAGAACUUAGACUCUCGUAAGUCAUGAGAAAUUUCUUUUUGAUGAAUAACACCUCAAGGUUUUCUAACUUGAGAAACCCUUCUCGAUUUGGUAUGUCUUAAGGUUCCUCUAAGACUAAACAAUACUUCACAAUAUCAAUCUGUUCACUAGUUUUUAUAGUGAGAAAAAAUACACCACUACUACACAGGAAGAACGAAAAACUCCCUUCUCAAAAUAAAUUUGUUGUGAUCACUUUCAUUAAUGAUCUCACAAGAUAGUACAUGCGACAACUCUAACAAAUAACAUACUUUACUGGCUUGUAGAUAAUAGCACAACGGAAAGAUGGAAAGUAUCCCAUCCCACCAUAAAAUUAGAUAACCAGCAAAAAGAAACCAAAACAAAAGAAAAACUUCACAAAGAUCUAAAUAUUCAAGCACAAUAAUUUAAAUUAGAAGAAAAAUGAUUAGGUAGAGCUAAAACUUUAAUUAACAACCUCUGAGACAAAUCAGAGACAACCCAUAAAGUCUCAAGAGCAAAUGUCAAGAGCCUUAAGCACACACAUAUAUAGCCAAUAUUAUAGGUGUAGACAUAAAAAAUGGAACAUAAAACAAGGAUUAGAGUUAUAAAACGCAAUCUCGCUUUUUGCUUUCUAUUUUUUCCUAUCAUUUUUAAACCCAAAAGUAUAUAUAUAAAAAAAAAAACCUAAAUAUACCCAAAUGAGCUUUAAUCAGAAACGUAAAUAAUGACAACCCUAAUACAUGAGGAAAAAUUCAUUAUUAGUGAAUGAAACUGACACUUAGUUAUAUUUUUGACUCAAUAAAAAUAAGAAAAGAAAAAAUUGAGAAACAAAUAAGAGGGGAAUGAUCAAUCCUGAGAAAUUUGUUGGCUGGAAAAUAUCCAACAAACAAAAAUCAAAUAUCAAUAAGGGACAAGAAUUUGAACGUAUAUAGAAACUUUACAUUUAAUAUAUAUAUCAUGUUAAAUUAUCAAUGAAUUCAAAAUCUCAUGCUAAUAAGUAACAAACGCUAAGUAACAAUAAAUUUAACUAUAUCAAUACUUUAACCAUAGGACAUCCGAACUCAUGAAAUAUAUAAUAAAAUCUUACAACAACUUGAGAAGAAACAAAAAGAGAGAAGCAACAAAUGUAAUAGGGGACAUGCAUAUGGCUGUAUAUAGCAGUUGUGUACACAAACUUAAUAUAUAGUUUUCCCAAAUGUGACAUUGAGAGAGGAAACAAGAAAAAAGAAAAAGAUGAAAAAUGAAAGAAGGGGGCAAAGAGGAAAAAAACAACUUCAAAGUUUCAGCCUUUUCAAUACAUUUCUGCUUUUGAAUACAUUUCAUUCUGUUCUUUCUAAUUCUUUUGCUCCAAAGGUUUUGUCCUGCAUUUAAAUAUUGAAAAUUAAAUUUGGUUAAUCAGUUAUUCAUGGAGUCAGGAUGCAAAAACAAAUUACACGAAGAUAAUAAUGAAACGAAGAUAAAACAAACAAUAAUUCGCUGUUGAAUUAAGAAAUUUCAGAAAUUAUUUGGUAAUUAAGUGUCGGUGUAAAGUGUUUCAACAACUCAUUUAAGUUAGACUUAAUAUAUUGACACCACAUAUCUUAAUAGUCAAGGUAUCAACUUCUUUUGUUAAAGGACAAACUUCACAAUCCACAACUUUUAUACUAAAAAAAAUGCAUAAAUGGUAGAAUAUUUCUAAGAUAAGACAUAUUACCACACUAAAAAUUAGUGGAGAAAGUUGAACAACCAUAUAUAGUUGAGAACCUUUUUCAAACAAAUAAUCCAAAAUAUGUCAAACCCCAGUUCAAAUUAUAUAGUGUGUGUUCGAUUCAAAUUACAACUUAUCAACAUUCCACUAUUUGUAAUAGAGUUUACCAAAAUAAUCAUACAAUGAAAGUUCAAGAUAUAAACAAUUUCAAUACAAAUAUAUAUACAACAUACAUAAAAAAAGAAAAACCCUAAAUGGUUCAAUCCUUCCGAAAUGCAAUUAAUAACUUUUAUACUAGCUUCUUCUCAUUUUGAAACUCACACCAAUAACUUCUCAAAUCAGCCAUUAGAAAAGUUUGUCAUCCAAAGAUAUCUCUACUAAUAUAAUUAAAAUAAUGCUACUUAAUAGAAGUUUUUGUCCUGUCUCCCUAAAAACAUUUUGCAAAAAUAGGGUUAGAAACUAGAGGGAGAGAGAAAAAGAGAAAGGUCAAAAUAGUUCACUUGAAAAAUUCCAUAUAUUUAAUUAAUAUAUACGUAGAGACAAAUGGCAUCCUUGGAAAUUGAAGCUAAGAAGGAGAGACAGCCAAGAAUGUCUUGUGAAAAGUUUUCCCCUGGAAUAUAUAUAUGUAAUGUAACUCACAAACCCCAAAAAUACAUAAAUAUAUACAUAUAAAUUAUAAAAUAUAUAAUAUGCAAUUAUAAAAAGAAAAUUGCAUGUGUAGAAAGUGAACAAAUAAUAUAUAAAAGGGUAGCUAAAAACAAGCAUUUGGGAAGAACACAUGAAUAAAAUUUUAAUUUUGAUCACUCCAUUCAAGGGUUCAUUUUUCUUUACAAGAAAUAGAUAGUUAAAAAGACAAAAAAAAAUUCAAUUUGAAAUCUAAUAAUAAUAAUAAUAAUAAUACUAAUAAUAAGAAGAAAAAACAAUAAUAAUUCUAGACUUCCCUAUGAGGUAGGCCGACAAGAACAUGUGAGAGUUUAGGGUAAAGUUAUACAAAAGAAAGACAUAUUUGUGUUGAAAUUAAACAUAAGAAUGAAGUAAAAUGGGAAGCACAAAGUAGAAGGCUUUUUACUUAAACUGAUCUCUCCCAAAAUAGGGAAAAGGUAUAUAUGAAUUUUGAGACAUAGAAACCAAUCAUAUAUCAUAUGACGUUUGAUGAAAUGGGAGAAUAAAAAAACUUACUGUCCCACAAAAAUCCAACUUCAAACAAACCACCAAAUCUACUUAGAAAAACUCAGGUUCAUAUUUUUUCUAAUUGAUACCAUAACUAUAGAAACGGAGUAAAUCAAAUCUCAUAUAUUUGAAAUAAAAAGACAUUGAGAUAAUUAUUAAAGUUUAUUAUAGAGUAUUAGGGUAAGGUGUUAUACUUCAACUGUUAAAGUUUAUUAUUUAAGAAAAAUUAAUUAAAAGAAUCUAAAUAAAAUUGAAAAGCAAACUGAUAUCUUUUUUUAAUGACCAAAUGGGUCACUCUCUUCCUGGACAAUACUCGAGAGAUUCUAUUGAGAAUGAUUAUGAGGUGUGGUUGAUAAUUGGUGUAAUUAAUAAAAUAAUCAUAAUUGAUCAGGUGGGAGGGGAGGGAAAACGACGAGGAAAUUAACAAAAGGGUUAACCUAAAAAGCAUGUUAAAACAAAACCCUUCAAAUUAAUUUUUGGAGUUUUUUUUUUAAAUAAAAAGAAAUAAAAACUAUUUACUCCUAAAACUUCAAAUUAAAGGAAAAUCCACAAAAUAUUUAUCUUAUAUAAAGAAAAUCAAGUGAAGUGUAAUGAAUUUUAUAAAUUAAACAAGUUUACCAUCAACAAAAUUUUAAGCAUCACUUUUAGUGUUUGAAGAAUGUGCUUGUUUAUGUGCUACAGCACUCUCCUAAAUUUGAAUUAUUAGUUUAGUAUAAAAGAAAGUUUUUUAAAAUAUUUCUUUUAGUAUUCCAAUACCCAGCUUAUUUUGAAAAUGUUUGUGAAGAUAAAGAAGAAAACAACAAAUAUAUAUAUUAUAUGUAUAUAUAAAAGUGAAAGUAGGGUUAUAAAUUUAAGUUUCAAAAUUUAAAGACAACAAAGAAAAAAAAAUUAAAACUUUGAUUAAUAGUAAAAUUUAAAAUUGUGAAGAUUAUUUCUACUUGGGAAUUUCUUUAUUUUUCC
rnacentral:lncRNA from 1 species